GAUGAACGCUGGCGGCGUGCCUAAUACAUGCAAGUCGAGCGAACAGACGAGGAGCUUGCUCCUCUGACGUUAGCGGCGGACGGGUGAGUAACACGUGGAUAACCUACCUAUAAGACUCGGAUAACUUCGGGAAACCGGAGCUAAUACCGGAUAAUAUAUUGAACCGCAUGGUUCAAUAGUGAAAGACGGUUUUGCUGUCACUUAUAGAUGGAUCCGCGCCACAUUAGCUAGUUGGUAAGGUAACGGCUUACCAAGGCAACGAUGCGUAGCCGACCUGAGAGGGUGAUCGGCCACACUGGAACUGAGACACGGUCCAGACUCCUACGGGAGGCAGCAGUAGGGAAUCUUCCGCAAUGGGCGAAAGCCUGACGGAGCAACGCCGCGUGAGUGAUGAAGGUCUUCGGAUCGUAAAACUCUGUUAUUAGGGAAGAACAAAUGUGUAAGUAACUAUGCACGUCUUGACGGUACCUAAUCAGAAAGCCACGGCUAACUACGUG
rnacentral:rRNA from 1 species